GUAAAACUCAUUUCAAAAGUUGCAAUUUUUUACCAAAAUAAAGUGAAUAUGUGAUUACUAACUGUUUUAGCGUAGAUGCUGGAGCUGUCAUCGAGCCUGCGGCCCCGCGAAGCGUGAAACCCGGUUUCAUCUCGGACUACUUGAUGUCGGCCAUCGACCGCCAUCUUAACCCCUGAUCUUCACCCCAGGUCCCGCCGACGUUAGCUAGCUAGCAUGUCGGUUACUGGGUGUAGGAACCGAGACGAAAAGCGGCGGGAACGUGUUGACAAAGAAGCUCUCAAAAUGGCGUCGGAUCAAACCGCUUCAGAGUCACAAGUCCUUGUCACGUGUUGUGCUGUGUUAGUGUAUUCUGUGUGUGUGUGUGUGUGUGUGUGUGUCUCUGCAGGUGUGUGUGUCUGUUUCUCUGCAGGUGUGCGCUGCUGAACACAAGAAGAGAGACGACAACAUCGUCGCUGUCCCCUGUGAGACCAGUUUUGGGACUUGAGGGAGUUUCUGCUUGGACGGGAGGAUCAGUGAGGGUACCGAGGAACUGAUGGUGAACUGGUAAUCUGUGAUGAUGCUCCAUGGCCGUGUAAAGAGGAAGGGGUUCCAGGGGUGUAUGUCUGUCUCUGCAGGUGUGUGUGUGACUCUCUGCAGGUG